rnacentral:rRNA from 1 species
CAGCCGCCGCGGGAAUACGGAGGGUGCAAGCGUUAAUCGGAAUUACUGGGCGUAAAGCGUGCGUAGGUGGUGGUUUAAGUCCGUUGUGAAAGCCCUGGGCUCAACCUGGGAAUUGCAGUGGAUACUGGGUCACUAGAGUGUGGUAGAGGAUAGUGGAAUUUCCGGUGUAGCAGUGAAAUGCGUAGAGAUCGGAAGGAACAUCUGUGGCGAAGGCGACUAUCUGGGCCAACACUGACACUGAGGCACGAAAGCGUGGGGAGCAAACAGGAUUAGAUACCCGGGUAGUCCCUGUCUCUUAUAC